rnacentral:rRNA from 1 species
AUUGAACGCUGGCGGCAGGCCUAACACAUGCAAGUCGAGCGGAUGAAGGGAGCUUGCUCCUGGAUUCAGCGGCGGACGGGUGAGUAAUGCCUAGGAAUCUGCCUGGUCGUGGGGGAUAACGUCCGGAAACGGGCGCUAAUACCGCAUACGUCCUGAUGUAGAAAGUGGGGGAUCUUCGGACCUCACGCUAUCAGAUGAGCCUAGGUCGGAUUAGCUAGUUGGUUGGGUAAAGGCCUACCAAGGCGACGAUCCGUAACUGGUCUGAGAGGAUGAUCAGUCACACUGGAACUGAGACACGGUCCAGACUCCUACGGGAGGCAGCAGUGGGGAAUCUUCGACAAUGGGCGAAAGCCUGAUCCAGCAAUGCCGCGUGUGUGAAGAAGGUCUUCGGAUUGUAAAGCACUUUAAGUUGGGAGGAAGGGAAGUAAGUUAAUCCAUUGCUGUCUUGACGUUACCAACAGAAUAAGCCCCGGCUAACUUCGUG